rnacentral:rRNA from 1 species
AGAGUUUGAUCCUGGCUCAGAAUGAACGCUGGCGGUAGGCUUAACACAUGCAAGUCGGACGGAAACGAUAGAGAGCGUGCUUUCUAGGCGUCGAGCGGCGGACGGGGGAGUAACGCGUGGGGAUCUACCCUAUAGUUGGGGAUAACAUAUGGAAACGUAUGCUAAUACCGAAUAUGCUCUACGGUAAAGGAGCCCUCUUCUUGAAAGGUUUCGCUAUAGGAUGAGCCCGCGUUAGAUUAGCUAGUUGGUAAGGUAAAGGCUUACCAAGGCCACGAUCUAUAGCUGGUUUGAGAGGAUGAUCAGCCACACUGGGACUGAGACACGGCCCAGACUCCUACGGGAGGCAGCAGUGGGGAAUAUUGCACAAUGGACGAAAGUCUGAUGCAGCCAUACCGCGUGUGUGAAGAAGGCCCGAGGGUUGUAAAGCACUUUCAGUUGGGAGGAAGGUAGUGUAGCUAAUAACUGCAUUGCUUGACGUUACCUUCAGAAGAAGCACCGGCUAACUCUGUGCCAGCAGCCGCGGUAAUACAGAGGGUGCAAGCGUUAUUCGGAAUUACUGGGCGUAAAGCGCGCGUAGGCGGAUUAUUAAGUCAGUUGUGAAAGCCCUGGGCUCAACCUAGGAACUGCAUCUGAAACUGGUAAUCUAGAGUUUAAGAGAGGGAAGUGGAAUUCCAGGUGUAGCAGUGAAAUGCGUAGAUAUCUGGAGGAACAUCAGUGGCGAAGGCGACCUUCUGGGCUGACACUGACGCUCAUGUACGAAAGCGUGGGGAGCAAACAGGAUUAGAUACCCUGGUAGUCCACGCCGUAAGCGAUGUCAACUAGCUGUUGGGGAGGAUCUGCCUCUUAGUAGCGUAGCUAACGCGAUAAGUUGACCGCCUGGGGAGUACGGCCGCAAGGCUAAAACUCAAAUGAAUUGACGGGGGCCCGCACAAGCGGUGGAGCAUGUUGUUUAAUUCGAUGCAACGCGAAGAACCUUACCACCCCUUGACAUCCUGCGAACUUUCUAGAGAUAGAUUGGUGCCUUCGGGAGCGCAGUGACAGGUGCUGCAUGGCUGUCGUCAGCUCGUGUCGUGAGAUGUUGGGUUAAGUCCCGUAACGAGCGCAACCCUUGUCCUUAGUUGCCAGCACGUAAUUGGGAACUCUAAGGAGACUGCCGGUGACAAACCGGAGGAAGGUGGGGACGACGUCAAGUCAUCAUGGCCCUUACGACCUGGGCUACACACGUGCUACAAUGGUCGGUACAGAGGGUUGCCAAGCCGCGAGGUGGAGCUAAUCCCAGAAAACCGAUCGUAUGCCGGAUGGGAGGCGUCAACUCGACGCCAGGAAGGCGGAAGCUCGAGUAAUCGCGAAUCAGAAUGUCGCGGUGAAUACGUUCCCCGGCCUUGUACACACCGCCCGUCACACCAUGGGAGUGGGUUGCAAAAGAAGUGGGUAGACUAACUUCGGAGGGCGCUUACCACUUUGUGGUUCAUGACUGGGGUGAAGUCGUAACAAGGUAGCCGUAGGGGAACCUGC